CCUACGGGGGGCAGCAGUAGGGAAUAUUGCUCAAUGGGGGAAACUCUGAAGCAGCAACGCCGCGUGGAGGAUGAAGGUUUUCGGAUUGUAAACUUCUUUUGUUAGAGAAGAUAAUGACGGUAUCUAACGAAUAAUCACCGGCUAACUACGUGCCAGCAGCAGCGGUAAUACGGAGGGUGCCAGCGUUAGUCGGAAUCACUGGGCGUAAAGAGCGCGUAGGCGGGAUAGCAAGUCAGUUGUGAAAUCCUAUGGCUUAACCAUAGAACUGCAGUUGAAACUGUUAUUCUAGAGUACAGGAGAGGUAGGUGGAAUUCUUGGUGUAGGGGUGAAAUGCGUAGAGAUCAAGAGGAAUACUCAUUGCGAAGGCGGCCUGCUAGAAUGUAACUGACGCUGAUGCGCGAAAGCGUGGGGAGCAAACAGGAUUAGAUACCCUUGUAGUC
rnacentral:rRNA from 1 species